rnacentral:rRNA from 1 species
UGGCGAACGGGUGAGUAACACGUGAGCAACCUGCCCCUGACUCUGGGAUAAGCGCUGGAAACGGCGUCUAAUACUGGAUACGAACCACGAAGGCAUCUUCAGUGGUUGGAAAGAAUUUCGGUUGGGGAUGGGCUCGCGGCCUAUCAGCUUGUUGGUGAGGUAAUGGCUCACCAAGGCGUCGACGGGUAGCCGGCCUGAGAGGGUGACCGGCCACACUGGGACUGAGACACGGCCCAGACUCCUACGGGAGGCAGCAGUGGGGAAUAUUGCACAAUGGGCGCAAGCCUGAUGCAGCAACGCCGCGUGAGGGAUGACGGCCUUCGGGUUGUAAACCUCUUUUAGCAGGGAAGAAGCGAAAGUGACGGUACCUGCAGAAAAAGCGCCGGCUAACUACGUGCCAGCAGCCGCGGUAAUACGUAGGGCGCAAGCGUUAUCCGGAAUUAUUGGGCGUAAAGAGCUCGUAGGCGGUUUGUCGCGUCUGCUGUGAAAUCCGGAGGCUCAACCUCCGGCCUGCAGUGGGUACGGGCAGACUAGAGUGCGGUAGGGGAGAUUGGAAUUCCUGGUGUAGCGGUGGAAUGCGCAGAUAUCAGGAGGAACACCGAUGGCGAAGGCAGAUCUCUGGGCCGUAACUGACGCUGAGGAGCGAAAGGGUGGGGAGCAAACAGGCUUAGAUACCCUGGUAGUCCACCCCGUAAACGUUGGGAACUAGUUGUGGGGUCCAUUCCACGGAUUCCGUGACGCAGCUAACGCAUUAAGUUCCCCGCCUGGGGAGUACGGCCGCAAGGCUAAAACUCAAAGGAAUUGACGGGGACCCGCACAAGCGGCGGAGCAUGCGGAUUAAUUCGAUGCAACGCGAAGAACCUUACCAAGGCUUGACAUAUACGAGAACGGGCCAGAAAUGGUCAACUCUUUGGACACUCGUAAACAGGUGGUGCAUGGUUGUCGUCAGCUCGUGUCGUGAGAUGUUGGGUUAAGUCCCGCAACGAGCGCAACCCUCGUUCUAUGUUGCCAGCACGUAAUGGUGGGAACUCAUGGGAUACUGCCGGGGUCAACUCGGAGGAAGGUGGGGAUGACGUCAAAUCAUCAUGCCCCUUAUGUCUUGGGCUUCACGCAUGCUACAAUGGCCGGUACAAAGGGCUGCAAUACCGCGAGGUGGAGCGAAUCCCAAAAAGCCGGUCCCAGUUCGGAUUGAGGUCUGCAACUCGACCUCAUGAAGUCGGAGUCGCUAGUAAUCGCAGAUCAGCAACGCUGCGGUGAAUACGUUCCCGGGUCUUGUACACACCGCCCGUCAAGUCAUGAAAGUCGGUAACACCUGAAGCCGGUGGCCUAACC